rnacentral:rRNA from 1 species
UACGUAGGGUGCGAGCGUUUGUCCGGGAAUUACUGGGCGUAAAGAGCUCGUAGGUGGUUUGUCGCGUUGUCCGUGAAAACUCACAACUCAAUUGUGGGCGUGCGGGCGAUACGGGCAGACUGGAGUACUGCAGGGGAGACUGGAAUUCUGGUGUAGCGGUGGAAUGCGCAGAUAUCAGGAGGAACACCGGUGGCGAAGGCGGGGUCUCUGGGCAGUAACUACGUGAGGAGCGAAAAGCGUGGGGGAGCGAACGG